UUGCACUGGAUGUGGCAGAUCCUCAGCAAAAUUUCAAGGCUUGGGUUCAGUUGGAGAAGAUCCUGGGUCUCCUGAGUCUGCGGCCAGUAGCCUUGAAAGAGCCAGAAAACUAUCAACAGGUGGGGAGAGAAGCAGAAAGCGAGGAAUCCUGGGAAAGCAUCCCGGUAAGGCUGAGGGAUCCUGGAAAGCUUGGAACAGGAGAAGGAGAAGGAGGAACCAGGCAAGGAGCUGGAAAAGGAAGGGGGAGAAGGAACUGGGGAAAAAUAAACGCAGAG